rnacentral:rRNA from 1 species
UGGGGAAUAUUGCACAAUGGGCGAAAGCCUGAUGCAGCGACGCCGCGUGAGGGAUGACGGCCUUCGGGUUGUAAACCUCUUUCAGCAGGGACGAAGCGCAAGUGACGGUACCUGCAGAAGAAGCACCGGCUAACUACGUGCCAGCAGCCGCGGUAAUACGUAGGGUGCAAGCGUUGUCCGGAAUUACUGGGCGUAAAGAGUUCGUAGGCGGUUUGUCGCGUCGUUUGUGAAAACCAGCAGCUCAACUGCUGGCUUGCAGGCGAUACGGGCAGACAUGAGGACUGCAGGGGAGAGUGGAAUGCCUGGUGUAGCGGUGAAAUGCGCAGACAUCAGGAGGCACACCGGUGGCGAAGGCGGGUCUCUGGGCAGUAACUGACGCUGAGGAACGAAAGCGUGGGUAGCGAACAGG